rnacentral:rRNA from 1 species
UACGAAGGGUGCAAGCGUUACUCGGAAUUACUGGGCGUAAAGCGUGCGUAGGUGGUUUGUUAAGUCUGUUGUGAAAGCCCCGGGCUCAACCUGGGAAUGGCAAUGGAUACUGGCAGGCUAGAGUGCGGUAGAGGGUAGUGGAAUUCCCGGUGUAGCGGUGAAAUGCGUAGAGAUCGGGAGGAACACCAGUGGCGAAGGCGGCUACCUGGACCAACACUGACGCUGAGAAGCGAAAGCAUGGGGAGCGAACAGG